CUAGUUGGUGAGGUAAUGGCUCACCAAGGCGACGAUCAGUAGCUGGUCUGAGAGGAUGAUCAGCCACAUUGGGACUGAGACACGGCCCAAACUCCUACGGGAGGCAGCAGUGGGGAAUUUUGGACAAUGGGCGCAAGCCUGAUCCAGCCAUGCCGCGUGCGGGAAGAAGGCCUUCGGGUUGUAAACCGCUUUUGGCAGGAACGAAACGGCGCGAGCAAAUAUCUCGCGUUAAUGACGGUACCUGCAGAAUAAGCACCGGCUAACUACGUGCCAGCAGCCGCGGUAAUACGUAGGGUGCAAGCGUUAAUCGGAAUUACUGGGCGUAAAGCGUACGCAGGCGGCUUUGCAAGACAGGUGUGAAAUCCCCGGGCCUAACCUGGGAACUGCAUUUGUGACUGCAUGGCUAGAGUUUGUCAGAGGGGGGUGGAAUUCCACGUGUAGCAGUGAAAUGCGUAGAUAUGUGGAGGAACACCGAUGGCGAAGGCAGCCCCCUGGGAUGUGACUGACGCUCAUGUACGAAAGCGUGGGGAGCAAACAGGAUUAGAUACCCUGGUAGUCCACGCCCUAAACGAUGUCGACUAGUUAUCGGAGGGUAACUCCUUCGGUAACGCAGCUAACGCGUGAAGUCGACCGCCUGGGGAGUACGGUCGCAAGAUUAAAACUCAAAGGAAUUGACG
rnacentral:rRNA from 1 species